UACGAAGGGGGCUAGCGUUGCUCGGAAUGACUGGGCGUAAAGGGCGCGUAGGCGGCGCCGCAAGUCGGGCGUGAAAGCCCCGGGCUCAACCCGGGGACGGCGCCCGGGACUGCGGGGCUGGAGGACGGGAGAGGGCCGCGGAAUUCCCAGUGUAGAGGUGAAAUUCGUAGAUAUUGGGAAGAACACCGGUGGCGAAGGCGGCGGCCUGGCCCGUUCCUGACGCUGAGGCGCGACAGCGUGGGGAGCAAACAGG
rnacentral:rRNA from 1 species